AGACCUUGAUUUUAUUUCAAAGUUACACUAAAUGAGAAAGGAUUUAUCACCAGCUUUGAAGGUGGCGGUAUAAAAGGAUCCUGAACUCCCAUGAACACACCAGAUCUACAGUUGCUUAUGGAAAAACUUUCUCUGAAAACUGGCUGAGUGAAUACUACACAUUGGAUGAACAAGAAAAGGCCCACAUGGAAACAGGGUCUGGCUUUUUGGACUUUGUCAUUUUAUUCCCAUGGCUAGAGUGAGCAACUUGUAACUUGCCAGGAAGGAAAUUGACAGAACUUUCAUAAAACCAAAGACUGACAGAAACAAAGUAAAUAAUGAUGAAACUGAGCAAUAGAUCAUCCAGAAGGAGUGUCCCCUGCCAAAACGAAUUAGCAUUUCACCCUGAGAAACAAAUGGACACUCUGUCUCCACAGAAGGCCAGGCCCACGUGUCAGCAUCACUUACUUCUUUA